rnacentral:rRNA from 1 species
UACGAAGGGGGCUAGCGUUGCUCGGAAUCACUGGGCGUAAAGCGCAACGUAGGCGGAUUGUUAAGUCAGGGGUGAAAUCCUGGAGCUCAACUCCAGAACUGCCUUUGAUACUGGCGAUCUUGAGUCCGGGAGAGGUGAGUGGAACUGCGAGUGUAGAGGUGAAAUUCGUAGAUAUUCGCAAGAACACCAGUGGCGAAGGCGGCUCACUGGCCCGGUACUGACGCUGAGGUGCGGAAAGCGUGGGGAGCAAACAGGG